UACAGAGGGUGCAAGCGUUAAUCGGAGUUACUGGGCGUAAAGGGCGCGUAGGUGGUUAGACAAGUAAGAUGUGAAAUCCCUGGGCUUAACCUAGGAAUUGCAUUUUAAACUGUUUAGCUGGAGUGCAGUAGAGGGUAGUGGAAUUUCCGGUGUAGCGGUGAAAUGCGUAGAGAUCGGAAGGAACACCAGUGGCGAAGGCGACUACCUGGACUGCAACUGACACUGAGGCGCGAAAGCGUGGGGAGCGAACAGG
rnacentral:rRNA from 1 species